GGGUAGACUUUUGAAAACGAUAAAAUUGGAAACUCGACGAAGAUAAGAUUCGAUUUCUUUUGUAGAUCCUAACAUGACGAUUCAACUAUUUAAUAAAUUUUGAACAUAACCAUAUAUGUAAAAUAAUAAUAAUAAAUUACAUAAGUAAAUAUGUCUCGGUGCUAGCCGCUCAAUUGCGCGGAUCACCCUACUAGCUAUAUAUAUGAGAAAUAAUUAAUGGGACGUGUAGUAGUGGAUGGGGCAACAUUCGGAGAACUUCCUCUAAAGGCUAAAAAUAUGUGAUAAAGCAACAAACAAUAAUAGUCUAACUAGGCUUGUCAUGCUUAACUUGUUACUUGUGCAUGCCAAGUUGAGAUAUCUAUACUCCUUUAAAAAGACUCCAAUGAUAAUGGCAGUGAAUUUGUCACCCCACCUACUCCCGUUGAAACAUAUUAUCCCUUGAACUUCUUAAUAUUACAUAGCAACUAAAUCUAACUAAAUCUAAAUGAAUAGCCACAUAUAAAAUUAAUAUGGAUAGCCCACAUUGCUAUAUUUCAUAGAAAAUAUGAUUUAUUUAUGUUAGAAAAUAUUGUUAUAUUUUUUCUUGUAUCCGUAGCAAAGCACGGGCAUUUAGCUAGUAUAUCUAAAUAUAGUCCCCAAUUUUGACCCCCUCCAUAUAGAACACUUUUUUUUAAUUCUGUAACUGUACUGUUUGCUUUUUUAAUACAAGUUGGAUGUAAAACAUCAUGCACAUACCACACUCACAUCCACACACACCUUAGGUGGGUGAUUUCAAGCACACGUCUAAAAAGAUUGAAGGCCUAGCUAGUCUCAGUAGCAAAGGUACGCGCUUUUACCACAGAAUGCUGGAAAUCCUGCUAUAUUAUUUGGUGUUAUCAAAGAGUAAUAAGUGGACUGCAUUGAACAGAAAAGAAAAAAAAAUGAUGCAAUUACGAAAUGCAAGCAGUACGUGCUAGCUUGAGGGAGAGACGUGGUCACUCACAUUCACGGCUGAAAUUGCUCCAUAUCCGCUGUGCCCACUGCUCCGUACGAUCUGAUACUGAAAUUGCAGCGAAGGAUGAUGUAAACCGAGUAACCGACGUGCACGGUUAGUUGGUUGUGACUGAUGAAAAGUUCUGUCAUACUCCUUCCCUUAAAAAAAAAAAGUCCAAAUCUUGCUACAAAUAUAAACUGUAUGCGUCUAGAUUCAUAGCUAGGAUUAACUUUUUUUAACUAGAAAAAAUAUCCGUGCGUUGCAACAGGUGAAGACUAUUUUAAUUUUAUUAUUGUUAUACAGUUUAGUUAAGGUGAAAUUCACUUUGGGAAUUCGCUAGGAUAUAUGUUUUUUUAGAAAAUCAUGAGCUGCAAUAAAAGUCUACUUCUUAUAUAUUUCCAAAAGCGAACUAACUUAAAAACUAAUUUAAUUACGGAUAUGUAUUUCGAAAAAGAAUGAACUUAAAAACUGACUCAUAUAUGGAUGACGUAUUAAAAUACCGGCAAAACAUGGUUCCGAAUGAUAGAAGUACCAGACAUGAGUAGCGGUAGCAUCACAAUGUAUAUAUGCCAAUCCGAGUAAGCAUGGC
rnacentral:sRNA from 1 species